rnacentral:rRNA from 1 species
AUUGAACGCUGGCGGCAGGCCUAACACAUGCAAGUCGAACGAGGGGCGGACGGGUGAGAAAUGUCUGGGAAAGUGCCUGAUGGAGGGGGAAAAGUACUGGAAACGGUAGCUAAUAACGCAAACCCUCAGAUGGGCACAGAUGGGAUUAGCUUGUUGGUGGGGUAACGGCUCACCAAGGGGACGAUCCCUAGCUGGUAGGAGAGGAUGACCAGCCACACUGGAACUGAGACACGGUCCAGACUCCUACGGGAGGCAGCAGUGGGGAAUAUUGCACAAUGGGCGCAAGCCUGAUGCAGCCAUGCCGCGUGUAUGAAGAAGGCCUUCGGGUUGUAAAGUACUUUCAGCGGGGAGGCGUUACCCGCAGAAGAAGCACCGGCUAACUCCGUGCCAGCCGCCGCGGUAAUUC